UACGAAGGGGCUAGCGUUGCUCGGAAUCACUGGGCGUAAAGCGCACGUAGGCGGAUUGUUAAGUCAGGGGUGAAAUCCUGGAGCUCAACUCCAGAACUGCCUUUGAUACUGGCAAUCUCGAGUUCGGGAGAGGUGAGUGGAACUGCGAGUGUAGAGGUGAAAUUCGUAGAUAUUCGCAAAGAACACCAGUGGCGAAGGCGGCUCACUGGCCCGGAACUGACGCUGAGGUGCGAAACGUGGGGACAACAGGA
rnacentral:rRNA from 1 species